GUUUAUUUUUACCUCCGAGCCCUGGAUCCUGUGACAUCAGGUUAUGGUUCCAAGGCCGACAGGGUUUGCCUGGAAACGGGUAAGCCUCCCGUGCGGAAAGGAUGGUAGUUGUAUUUGCU
rnacentral:ncRNA from 2 species